rnacentral:rRNA from 1 species
AAUUAAAUUUCCGAAAAAGAUUUUGGAAAUGAAACGAUGCUGAAUAGAGUAAAGACUCUCACUGCCUGUUAUACAUGUGUAAAAUUUUGGAGAAGAAUAUAAAAAAAAAAUUAUGAACGUUUAGGAUAUAAAUUUGAAUUAUUUUAAUGAUUAACAUUGAUUUUAAUGGAAUUAAUAGAUAUGUACAGUAGACUAAAUUUUGAAUAUUAAAAUAUAAAUAAAAUUGUUGGUGUGUGUUUUAUUUUAAUUCAUUCUUAUUAUCUCCUGAUAGAUUAAUUAUAAGUUCAAGGAGACGUUCCCCAUUUUAUGACGGUACAAUAAAUCCAAAUCUCUGAUCAGAAAAUUAUGGAAUUUUUUAAAUGGAACUAGUAUUAUCCGAUGAUUGGGAUCAAAAUAUGUUUUAAAAUUAUAAUAACUAUCCCUUUAUCCAUUAUAAUAAAGUGUUGAUUAUAUAAAAUAAAGAGAUAUUUAAAACUCUAUGCUAAUAAUUGAAUAAAGAUUC